AACCAUAGAAACCUGCGGAGUACCUGCGGAAGGAUCAUUACAGAGUGUUUAACCCCCUAUAAAAUGGUGGGUCUAACCUCCCGUCCUUUGCUGGGUCCCCCUUCUGGAGGACUUUCAAAACUUUCUGCUUCGGCGGGGUAUACCCGCCGGAACACCCUCAAAAAAUUCUUGAUCAAAAUGGUUCGGUCCGAGAAACUUUUUGUGAAAAUUAGCGAAAAACUUUCAGCAAUGGAUCUCAGA
rnacentral:misc_RNA from 1 species